rnacentral:lncRNA from 1 species
GUCUCGUCCGUUCCUCCCUGAGGAAGCCAGAAGAAAGGAUUUCUCUCCUGUUUUCACCCACUCCCUGUGCCUCCUGACUGACCCCGGUGCUUCCCCCAUGGCUCUGCAGAUCUUGGUGUGCCCACUCCUCUUGGGAACUGUAAGUAACGAAGAUCUGUUGGCCUCGCCAUAUCUGAAUAAUAAUGACACCUACACUUUAAAGCAGGGGCCCAGCAGGGCAAGAAGUCAGGACCCUGUUCCCUCUCUCACAGAGCUUAGAAUCUAGUCAGUGUGUUGCAUAUAUUUUUCUAGCGUGCAAUUUUUUUCUCUGAUAAGGCAAAUGGGCUUGAAUCUCAAGACUGUAGUUGCUUAUCAGAUUAAUACAGCUAUGCUUUUGAAAAUGAAUAAUGGGAUAAUUUAAUGGUGAGUAUGUACACUAUUUCUAACUCCCAGUGCCACCCACAAUACACACAUACACACACACACACUCAUACACUCACACAUACUCACACACACUCAUAUACAUACAUUCACUGUCUCACACACACACACUCACACAGUCUCACGAACUCACACACUGACACACACACUCACACACUCACUCUGACACACGACACUCCUUGUAGGAGGUGUAUUGAGUCUCAGGGUAGGUAGGCUCUGAUUUCCUAAUUCCUGCCUCCGUGAAUUCUUUUUCCCUCUCAAAGCCUCUCUGCUCCCUAUUCCUAUCCAUAGAUGUCCUGCAGAUGGUUAAGAGUCUUUAACAACCCUAAGCUGCAGACAGGCCUAAAGCAGUUUCACUGAGUUUACUUUUGAAUUUUGUUUAUGGUGGGUUUUUUUAAUUUAAACUUUUUUUUUUUUUAAGAGACAGCCUCGCUCUGCCACCCAGGCUGGUGUGCAGUGGCGCAAUCUCGGCUCAUUGCAACCUCCGCCUCCUGGGUUCAAGCGAUUAUCCUGCCUCAGCCUCCCAACUAGCUAGAAUUACAGGCGUGUAAUUUUACCACCAUGCGCAGCUAAUUUUUUUUUGUAUUUUUAGUAAAGACAGGGUUUCACUAUAUUGGCCAGGCUGGGCUUAAACUCCUGACCUCAGGUGACCCGCCGGCCUUAGCCUCCCGAAGUGCUGGGAUUAUAGGCGUGAGCCACUGCGCCUGGCCUAAUUUAAACUUUUAAUUUUGAGACCAUUGUAGAUUUGCAUGCAGUGGUAAGAAAUAACACCAAGAGAUCAUGGGUACAGUUCACCCAGCUCCUCCUAAUGGUACAAUGUCACAACCUGCACAGUGACAUUGACAGAAGCCACUGAUCUUACUCAGGUUCCCUCAGUUUUACUUUUGUGUGUGUGUGUGUGUGUGUGUGUGUGUAUAGUUAGUUCUAUGUAACUUUAUCACGUGUAGUUUUGUGUAUAGCCUGUAUGGUGGCUUUUUAAUUAUAGUUAUGUAGUUAUUGUUAUAUAUUCAAUUCUUUCCUUUAUAUUCUGCUUUUGUUGUCAAAAUAAUGAAGAUCUUCUCUUCCCCAGGAUCACAAAAAUUAUCUCAGGAAUUCCAGGAAGAAGAGUCCAUUUAUUGACUCUUUCUGCCUUUUAUCCAUAGAAAUUCCAUGUGGAAAUCUCUCUAAUCCAGAUUCCCCCUUACCUUUUCCACUGGAGAUUUUUUACCAAAUUGAACAAUAACUGUUGGUGCUAAAUCCACCAGAAAUACUUUUCAGUUCUCAUUUCAUUCACUGAUUUCUUUAUUCAACAAAUAUUUCCAGUGUGUGCUUAGGUCUCCGGCAUGGUUCUAGGCCUGGGCACGCAGUACGGCAGAGGGAGAUGCAAGAGAAAGAUGGAUGGGAUCAGACCUCAUGGGAACCUUGCUGGCUGUGCAGAAUAAGAAGUUUGGAUUUUAUUCUCAAGGCAAUGGGAAACUAGAAGAUUUAAAGGAGGGGAGAGAUCCAAUCUGAUUUCUUUUUUUUUUUUUUUCUGAGAUGGGGUCUUGCUCUAUUGCCCAGGUUGCAGCCUCAACCUCCUGGGCUCAAGUGAUUCUCCCACCUCAGCCUCCCAAGUACCUGGGACCACAGGUGUGCACCACCAAGCCCGGCUAAUUAGUUUUUAUUUUUGUAGAGACAAAAAUAAACUGUGUUGCUCAGGCCAGUCUCAAACUCCUGAGCUUAAGUGAUCCUUCUGCCUCGACUUCCCAAAGUGUUGGGAUUACAGAACAGAGGGAAUUUCCUGGAAGGCAGGGUCUGUGUUCAUCUCCCACAGAGCAUAGAGCACAGUGGAUGCUGAGGAAAUGGUGAAUGCUGGAAAGGAGCAACAGAAGGAGCUCCAGUUCUCCCUGAGAAGUGUCCCCAUUGGGGAAGUGACCCAAAGUCUCAUGUGUCUCUGGGAGAUAAAUCAAGAUCAAGGCUAGGGCCUUGGGACUCAGCCUAGCCCUGUGAACAAUAUCUCACCUGGACUUUCAAAAGAUGGGGUGAAGGUGGACCACACCGGGUGUUCUCAGUGGCUUCCCAGGGCAGCUGCCUCAAUUAGAGGAUUUGCUAGUACGUAGCAGAGUGUGCAAUAAAUCUUAUUGUUUCAUUAGGA